UUUGUUGAAUCAGGUCUCUCAUGUUAACAGUUCAGUGUUGAAUCAGGUCUCUCAUGUUAACAGUUCAGUGUUGAAUCAGGUCUCUCAUGUUAACAGUUCAGUGUUGAAUCAGGUCUCUCAUGUUAACAGUUCAGUGUUGAAUCAGGUCUCUCAUGUUAACAGUUCAGUGUUGAAUCAGGUCUCUCAUGUUAACAGUUCAGUGUUGAAUCAGGUCUCUCAUGUUAACAGUUCAGUGUUGAAUCAGGUCUCUCAUGUUAACAGUUCAGUGUUGAAUCAGGUCUCUCAUGUUAACAGUUCAGUGUUGAAUCAGGUCUCUCAUGUUAACAGUUCAGUGUUGAAUCAGGUCUCUCAUGUUAACAGCUCAGUGUUGAAUCAGGUCUCUCAUGUUAACAGUUCAGUGUUGAAUCAGGUCUCUCAUGUUAACAGCUCAGUGUUGAAUCAGGUCUCUCAUGUUAACAGCUCAGUGUUGAAUCAGGUCUCUCAUGUUAACAGUUCAGUGUUGAAUCAGGUCUCUCAUGUUAACAGUUCAGUGUUGAAUCAGGUCUCUCAUGUUAACAGUUCAGUGUUGAAUCAGGUCUCUCAUGUUAACAGUUCAGUGUUGAAUCAGGUCUCUCAUGUUAACAGUUCAGUGUUGAAUCAGGUCUCUCAUGUUAACAGUUCAGUGUUGAAUCAGGUCUCUCAUGUUAACAGUUCAGUGUUGAAUCAGGUCUCUCAUGUUACAGUUCAGUGUUGAAUCAGGUCUCUCAUGUUAACAGUUCAGUGUUGAAUCAGAUCUCUCAUGUU